rnacentral:rRNA from 1 species
UACGGAGGGGGCUAGCGUUGUUCGGAAUUACUGGGCGUAAAGCGCACGUAGGCGGCUUUGUAAGUUAGAGGUGAAAGCCCAGAGCUCAACUUUGGAAUUGCCUUUAAGACUGCAUCGCUUGAACACGGGAGAGGUGAGUGGAAUUCCGAGUGUAGAGGUGAAAUUCGUAGAUAUUCGGAAGAACACCAGUGGCGAAGGCGGCUCACUGGACCGUUGUUGACGCUGAGGUGCGAAAGCGUGGGGAGCAAACAGG